GACGGAGGAUGCAAGUGUUAUCCGGAAUCACUGGGCGUAAAGCGUCUGUAGGUGGUUUAAAAAGUCUACUGUUAAAAAUUGAAGCUUAACUUCAAAGAUGCCGUAGAAACUUUUAAACUUGAGGACGGUAGGGGUAGAGGGAAUUUCCAGUGGAGCGGUGAAAUGCGUAGAUCUUGGAAAGACCACCAAUGGCGAAGGCACUCUACUGGGCCAUGACUGACACUAAGAGACGAAAGCUAGGGGAGCAAAUGGG
rnacentral:rRNA from 1 species